UGGGGAUGACGUCAAGUCAUCAUGGCCCUUACGGCCAGGGCUACACACGUGCUACAAUGGCGCGUACAGAGGGCUGCAAGCUAGCGAUAGUGAGCGAAUCCCAAAAAGCGCGUCGUAGUCCGGAUUGGAGUCUGCAACUCGACUCCGUGAAGUCGGAAUCGCUAGUAAUCGCAAAUCAGAAUGUUGCGGUGAAUACGUUCCCGGGCCUUGUACACACCGCCCGUCACACCAUGGGAGUGGGUUGCACCAGAAGUAGAUAGCUUAACCUUCGGGAGGGCGUUUACCACGGUGUGAUUCAUGACUGGGGUGAAGUCGUAACAAGGUAACCCUAGGGGAACCUGGGGUUGGAUCACCUCCUUA
rnacentral:rRNA from 1 species